GCCCCGCCCUGCCGAGCCUCAGGGCCGAGCCGCGCCGAAGCCCGGCCCCGGGCGCGACGCGAGGUCUGCGCUUGCCUUCGGCGGCCGGCUCGGUCUUUGUCUCCCCUCCCGAGGGUUUCCUCUCCCCGCGUCGGGACUCGCUAAAACGUGCUAAUCUGCUUUCCCGACCCGCUCCCGCCGGCGCUGCGCGGCCUCGGGUCCCCGCUACCCUGUGGUAACGCCGCCCCUCGAUUCCGAGUCUCUCCCGACCUCCUCGCCCUAACAUUCCAGCCUUUCCUGCCCUGCCUCCCGCCCGCCAGUGCGCCUUCCCUUCCUGCGGCUUUUGUUUUCUCUUCGCGGCGUGCGUUUCUGUCAGCGUGCUGCGUGUCUUGUUCAUCGUGGUUGUUGACUCUCCCCCACCGGGACGUAGGUUUCAGGAGGACGGGGAUUUUGUCGUCUCGUCCACUGCAUUCCUGGCACCCACAGCCGUGCCCGGUGCACAGGAGGUGCUCCACAGCCUUUUAAGAUUAACCCAACAACGCAGACUGCUGUGUGUUAGCGCCCAAGUGGGAAGCCGCUACCAGGAGUGCCCGACUGACACUUGCGACGAGUCUCCGGCGGGGUUUGCCAGGAGGGAGACGCUGUGGGACGGGAGGGACCCGGAUUUGCCGCCCUCGGUGGUCAUCUCUCACGCUCCGUCUGUCAUUUCAUGCUGCGGACACCGUGGCAUCACCUCGGACAAAGCGUUUUUAGGCUAACUGGCUCUGUCCUUUGGGGUGUUUGUUCCAAAGUUUAGAUAGGAAUAGCGGUGCGAGAACAAGUCCAAGGAUAGCUCUUUAAUUGAAUGGAAAAGUCAUGGGAAUCAACAUACAAGAACCCAAAUCAAAGGCAAGCAAAAGUGUAGCAUUUUCAAGGAGUAUAAAAUCCAUUUUUAAAGUAUCCAGUUGGGUAAGCUUAAUUUUUAGUUCUUCAACAGAAGGUUGCUGUUUAAUCCAGCUUCCUUCAAAAACUGUUUUAGUCAGUUUGGGAGGUACCGGUGGUUUCCUGGUCUGAAAGAGACUUGAAAGUUUGUCAAGUGGAUCCACAUGAUGUAUCUAGUUAUAUUCAGAAAACAGCACCCUGCUGUUCCAGAUCGUGUCAGUGAUCAUCUCUAUUGGCCAAUUAGGUGCUUGGAAUAUACCAGCAAAGAAAAUGGACAAAGAUUCCUGGCUUGCAUUCUAGAGAAGAAGAAUCAGAUGAUGAACCUUAACCAUAACACUUUGCGUACUGCUCACGAGUUUUCUCGUGUUCGCGCACCAUCUGUUAAGGACCGCUCAAGAGUUUUCUUGUGUUUCCCACACUAUCUGUUAUGGACCACUGACGAGUUUUCUCGUGUUUCGCACGCCAUCUGUUAUGGACCUUAGAUGUCAAUACACUGCCUUGUCCACAUUGAAUGAAGCGAUCUCAUUGGUGGAAACCGUGCAGGUCAAUCUACGAAAAACUAUAUGAUUGCACAAACCCAUAAAGCAUUGCAGUUACAUUGUAUUUUGGUCAUUCAAAUAGUCUUCAUCUUCAAGUUCCUGGCGCUUUUUAGGGUGCUUUUCUGCCCUCUCUCAGAAAAAGGAAGGAAACCAACGAAACUGAUACACUUUCGGAAGUAUUUAAUGAUAAUUUAUCAGAUAUUCCUAGUGAGAUCAAAGAUGCAGAUGACUGUUUUGACGAUUCCAGAGAUGAUUCUACUGAUUCUACUAAGAGUGAAAUUAUUAGACCUGUAAGGAAGUGCAAGGUGGGGGUGCUUUCAAGUGAUUCCCAUACUGACGAAGCUGCUGAUAAUUGUUGGUCUGAAAUUGACACACUACCACGCUUAAAAUGUUAGAAGAUCAUGCUGGGGUCACUACAUUUCCGUCUCAGUGUGACUCUGUACCCUUUGUGACCAGUCUCUUUUUUGGUGAUGAAUCGUUUGGGAUGUUGUGCAAAGAGCUGUCCAACUAUCAUGAUCAAACCAAAAUGAAAUGCGCAAAACACCAUCGGGAACAAUAAAGUGGUGUCCGGUUACACAGAAGAACAUCAAGAAAUUCCUUGGCCUAAUUAUUCUGAUGGGUCAAACAAGAAAAGAUAGCUGGAAAGACUAUUGGUCAACAGAUCCUUUGAUAUGUACCCCUAUAUUUCCACAGACAAUGAGUCGCCAUAGAUUUGAGCAAAUAUGGACAUUCUAGCAUUUCAAUGAUACGCCAAAAUGGACAGUCGCUCGGGGAGACUUUUCAAGAUCCAACCUAUGCUGGAUUAUUUCCUGCAUAAAUUUCGAACAAUAUACAAACCAAAGCAACAGUUGUCUUUGGAUGAGGGAAUGAUUCCAUGGAGAGGACAUUUAAAAUUUCGCACGUACAACCCAGUGAAAAUAAAAUACAGUUUACUUGUUCGGAUGGUGUGCGAGGGUGACACUGGCUAUAUCUGCAAUAUGGAGAUAUACACUGCUGAAAGAAAGAAGUUGCAAGAAACUGUUCUUUCAGUCCUUGGAUCCUGUCUUGGCAUAUGGCACCAUAUUUACCAGGAUAAUUAUUACAAUGCUACAUCUGCUGAAUUGCUGCUACAGAACAAAACUAGAGUCUGUGGGACUAUUAGGGAGGGUAGAGGUUUACUGCCAAAUUGGCAAAUGAAAACAUCAAGAAUAAAGAAAGGUGACAUAAUAUUUUCCAGAAAAGGCGAUAUUCUUCUCCUAGCGUGGAAAGACAAGUGGGUCGCCUGAAUGAUAUCAAUGAUCCAUGACAUUUCUGUCUCGACAACAGGAAAAACAAAUAGACAAACAGGAGAGAACAUUGUAAAACCUGCCUGCAUCAAGGAAUACAAUGCCCACAUGAAAGGCGUUGACCGUGCGGAUCAAUUCCUUUCGUGUUGUUCCCUUCUAAGGAAAACGAUGAAAUGGACAAAAAACGUAGUGCUGUACCUUAUAAACUGUGGACUUUUCAAUUCAUUUAGAGUGUACAAUGUCCUCAGUCCACAAGCAAAAAUGAAGUAUAAACAGUUUCUGCUAUGGGUGGUGAGAGACUGGAUAACGGAUGACAAUAAUGAAGGCUCUCCGAACCAGAGACAGAUCUGUCCAGCCCUUCCCCUGGGGGUGCAAGGAGAGCACCUUGUAAAGAUCCACCCAAAAGGUUGUCAGGUGAUAUGAAGCAGCAUGAACCUAUGUGUAUUCCAGCAAGUGGAAAGAAAAAAUUUCCUCUGAGAGCCUGCAGAGUUUGUGCUGCCCAUGGAAAAAGGAGCGAAUCUAGAUACUUAUGUAAAUUUUGUUUGGUCCCUCUUCAUAGAGGAAAAUGUUUUACGCAGUACCCGUUAAAAAAGUACUAGAGACUUUGUUUAAUUAGUUGUUUAAUUGUUUUUGUAAAUAAAAAUGUUAUAAUUAUUGAAAAACAACA